CACAUGCAGUCGAACGAUGAAGCCAGCUUGCUGGUGGAUUAGUGGCGAACGGGUGAGUAACACGUGAGUAACCUGCCCUUGACUCUGGGAUAAGCCUGGGAAACCGGGUCUAAUACCGGAUAUGACUGCCGGCCGCAUGGCCUGGUGGUGGAAAGCUUUAUUGCGGUUUUGGAUGGACUCGCGGCCUAUCAGCUUGUUGGCGGGGUAAUGGCCCACCAAGGCGACGACGGGUAGCCGGCCUGAGAGGGUGACCGGCCACACUGGGACUGAGACACGGCCCAGACUCCUACGGGAGGCAGCAGUGGGGAAUAUUGCACAAUGGGCGCAAGCCUGAUGCAGCGACGCCGCGUGAGGGAUGAAGGCCUUCGGGUUGUAAACCUCUUUCAGUAGGGAAGAAGCGAAAGUGACGGUACCUGCAGAAGAAGCGCCGGCUAACUACGUAACA
rnacentral:rRNA from 1 species